AAUAAAAUAAUAAUAGGACGAUAUCAUCCUUUUUCAUCUUCUCUAAACCGAUUUUUUCAGCCAAAAAAUGGGUUUUGAAAGCUUCAUAUUUUCAGCAACUUUGAGGCUUAGCAAGGUUUCCAGGUUUGUUCGGGUUGGAGUUCGUCGGAGAUAUUAUCACACUGUCAAGCUACCGCUAUUGAUGUAGUGAUUUCAAGUACUUUAAGUCUAUGGCAUGUAUAGGAGUUUAAAUAUUAGAGUAUGUGAUAUGGCUUUGACCAUAUGUGUUGGCCUAUUUUGAUUAUGGGAUUAUAAAUUCAUUUUAAUUAUUUGAGA